GGGUUGUGAGGUUAAGCGACUAAGCGUACACGGUGGAUGCCCUGGCAGUCAGAGGCGAUGAAGGACGUGCUAAUCUGCGAUAAGCGUCGGUAAGGUGAUAUGAACCGUUAUAACCGGCGAUUUCCGAAUGGGGAAACCCAGUGUGUUUCGACACACUAUCAUUAACUGAAUCCAUAGGUUAAUGAGGCGAACCGGGGGAACUGAAACAUCUAAGUACCCCGAGGAAAAGAAAUCAACCGAGAUUCCCCCAGUAGCGGCGAGCGAACGGGGAGCAGCCCAGAGCCUGAAUCAGUGUGUGUGUUAGUGGAAGCGUCUGGAAAGGCGCGCGAUACAGGGUGACAGCCCCGUACACAAAAAUGCACAUGCUGUGAGCUCGAUGAGUAGGGCGGGACACGUGGUAUCCUGUCUGAAUAUGGGGGGACCAUCCUCCAAGGCUAAAUACUCCUGACUGACCGAUAGUGAACCAGUACCGUGAGGGAAAGGCGAAAAGAACCCCGGCGAGGGGAGUGAAAAAGAACCUGAAACCGUGUACGUACAAGCAGUGGGAGCACGCUUAGGCGUGUGACUGCGUACCUUUUGUAUAAUGGGUCAGCGACUUAUAUUCUGUAGCAAGGUUAACCGAAUAGGGGAGCCGAAGGGAAACCGAGUCUUAACUGGGCGUUAAGUUGCAGGGUAUAGACCCGAAACCCGGUGAUCUAGCCAUGGGCAGGUUGAAGGUUGGGUAACACUAACUGGAGGACCGAACCGACUAAUGUUGAAAAAUUAGCGGAUGACUUGUGGCUGGGGGUGAAAGGCCAAUCAAACCGGGAGAUAGCUGGUUCUCCCCGAAAGCUAUUUAGGUAGCGCCUCGUGAAUUCAUCUCCGGGGGUAGAGCACUGUUUCGGCAAGGGGGUCAUCCCGACUUACCAACCCGAUGCAAACUGCGAAUACCGGAGAAUGUUAUCACGGGAGACACACGGCGGGUGCUAACGUCCGUCGUGAAGAGGGAAACAACCCAGACCGCCAGCUAAGGUCCCAAAGUCAUGGUUAAGUGGGAAACGAUGUGGGAAGGCCCAGACAGCCAGGAUGUUGGCUUAGAAGCAGCCAUCAUUUAAAGAAAGCGUAAUAGCUCACUGGUCGAGUCGGCCUGCGCGGAAGAUGUAACGGGGCUAAACCAUGCACCGAAGCUGCGGCAGCGACACUUAUGUGUUGUUGGGUAGGGGAGCGUUCUGUAAGCCUGUGAAGGUGUACUGUGAGGUAUGCUGGAGGUAUCAGAAGUGCGAAUGCUGACAUAAGUAACGAUAAAGCGGGUGAAAAGCCCGCUCGCCGGAAGACCAAGGGUUCCUGUCCAACGUUAAUCGGGGCAGGGUGAGUCGACCCCUAAGGCGAGGCCGAAAGGCGUAGUCGAUGGGAAACAGGUUAAUAUUCCUGUACUUGGUGUUACUGCGAAGGGGGGACGGAGAAGGCUAUGUUGGCCGGGCGACGGUUGUCCCGGUUUAAGCGUGUAGGCUGGUUUUCCAGGCAAAUCCGGAAAAUCAAGGCUGAGGCGUGAUGACGAGGCACUACGGUGCUGAAGCAACAAAUGCCCUGCUUCCAGGAAAAGCCUCUAAGCAUCAGGUAACAUCAAAUCGUACCCCAAACCGACACAGGUGGUCAGGUAGAGAAUACCAAGGCGCUUGAGAGAACUCGGGUGAAGGAACUAGGCAAAAUGGUGCCGUAACUUCGGGAGAAGGCACGCUGAUAUGUAGGUGAAGUCCCUCGCGGAUGGAGCUGAAAUCAGUCGAAGAUACCAGCUGGCUGCAACUGUUUAUUAAAAACACAGCACUGUGCAAACACGAAAGUGGACGUAUACGGUGUGACGCCUGCCCGGUGCCGGAAGGUUAAUUGAUGGGGUCAGCGCAAGCGAAGCUCUUGAUCGAAGCCCCGGUAAACGGCGGCCGUAACUAUAACGGUCCUAAGGUAGCGAAAUUCCUUGUCGGGUAAGUUCCGACCUGCACGAAUGGCGUAAUGAUGGCCAGGCUGUCUCCACCCGAGACUCAGUGAAAUUGAACUCGCUGUGAAGAUGCAGUGUACCCGCGGCAAGACGGAAAGACCCCGUGAACCUUUACUAUAGCUUGACACUGAACAUUGAGCCUUGAUGUGUAGGAUAGGUGGGAGGCUUUGAAGUGUGGACGCCAGUCUGCAUGGAGCCGACCUUGAAAUACCACCCUUUAAUGUUUGAUGUUCUAACGUUGACCCGUAAUCCGGGUUGCGGACAGUGUCUGGUGGGUAGUUUGACUGGGGCGGUCUCCUCCUAAAGAGUAACGGAGGAGCACGAAGGUUGGCUAAUCCUGGUCGGACAUCAGGAGGUUAGUGCAAUGGCAUAAGCCAGCUUGACUGCGAGCGUGACGGCGCGAGCAGGUGCGAAAGCAGGUCAUAGUGAUCCGGUGGUUCUGAAUGGAAGGGCCAUCGCUCAACGGAUAAAAGGUACUCCGGGGAUAACAGGCUGAUACCGCCCAAGAGUUCAUAUCGACGGCGGUGUUUGGCACCUCGAUGUCGGCUCAUCACAUCCUGGGGCUGAAGUAGGUCCCAAGGGUAUGGCUGUUCGCCAUUUAAAGUGGUACGCGAGCUGGGUUUAGAACGUCGUGAGACAGUUCGGUCCCUAUCUGCCGUGGGCGCUGGAGAACUGAGGGGGGCUGCUCCUAGUACGAGAGGACCGGAGUGGACGCAUCACUGGUGUUCGGGUUGUCAUGCCAAUGGCACUGCCCGGUAGCUAAAUGCGGAAGAGAUAAGUGCUGAAAGCAUCUAAGCACGAAACUUGCCCCGAGAUGAGUUCUCCCUGACUCCUUGAGAGUCCUGAAGGAACGUUGAAGACGACGACGUUGAUAGGCCGGGUGUGUAAGCGCAGCGAUGCGUUGAGCUAACCGGUACUAAUGAACCGUGAGGCUUAACCUUACAACGCCGAAGGUGUUU
rnacentral:rRNA from 1 species